AAUUGAGAGAAAAAAAAUUCAAUGUAAAAAUAUGUUUGUGCAGCAUUUAUGCAUACAGUACAAUAUCGUCGAUUAGGAACGUCACUUCUAUAAGAAAUAUGUUAUCAGAAGCAAGAUAAAUUUUUUAAGUUGUAGAAGUCAAAAAUUAUGGAAGAAAUCUUUUUGCCCGUGUGACGAUGUCAAAAUAGAAGACCUCUACUAGCAGAUACGUAUCGCCGCCAUUUUUUAUUAUAAAAAAAAUAAUAUCAAUGUUUCAACAAUAAAAGAUAAGCAAUAAAGUGGUUUAUUUAAA